rnacentral:rRNA from 1 species
UGCGUAGGUGGUUUCUUAAGUCAGAGGUGAAAGGCUACGGCUCAACCGUAGUAAGCCUUUGAAACUGGGAAACUUGAGUGCAGGAGAGGAGAGUGGAAUUCCUAGUGUAGCGGUGAAAUGCGUAGAUAUUAGGAGGAACACCAGUUGCGAAGGCGGCUCUCUGGACUGUAACUGACGUUCAGGCUCGAAAGCGUGGGGAGCAAACA